rnacentral:rRNA from 1 species
UUGCUCUUCAACGAGGAAUGCCUAGUAAGCGCGUGUCAUCAGCAUGCGUUGAUUACGUCCCUGCCCUUUGUACACACCGCCCGUCGCUACUACCGAUUGAAUGGCUCAGUGAGGCCUUCGGACUGGCUUGGGGAGGUUGGCAACGACCACCCUAAGCCGGAAAGUUCGUCAAACUCGGUCAUUUAGAGGAAGUAAAAGUCGUAACAAGGUUUCCGUAGGUGAACCUGCGGAAGGAUCAUUACAUUCAGUAGCCUAGCUACUUGUUUACACCCUUGUUUUUUGCGUACCUAUUGUUUCCUCGGCGGGCUUGCUCGCCGGUUGGACAAAACUAUAACCUUUUUUAAAUCUUCAAUCAGCGUCUGAAUUAUACAUAAUAAUUACAACUUUCAACAACGGAUCUCUUGGUUCUGGCAUCGAUGAAGAACGCAGCGAAAUGCGAUAAGUAGUGUGAAUUGCAGAAUUCAGUGAAUCAUCGAAUCUUUGAACGCACAUUGCGCCCCUUGGUAUUCCAUGGGGCAUGCCUGUUCGAGCGUCAUUUGUACCCUCAAGCUUUGCUUGGUGUUGGGCGUCUUGUCUUUUAUUAGACUCGCCUUAAAGUCAUUGGCAGCCAGUGUUUUUGGUAGUAAGCGCAGCACAUUUUGCGUCUUAGUCCUUAAAUCGUGGCAUCCAUGAAGCCUCUUUUUCACUUUUGACCUCGGAUCAGGUAGGGAUACCCGCUGAACUUAAGCAUAUCAAUAAGCGGAGGA